rnacentral:rRNA from 1 species
UUGAAGAGUUUGAUCAUGGCUCAGAUUGAACGCUGGCGGCAGGCCUAACACAUGCAAGUCGAACGGUAACAGGAAACAGCUUGCUGUUUCGCUGACGAGUGGCGGACGGGUGAGUAAUGUCUGGGAAACUGCCUGAUGGAGGGGGAUAACUACUGGAAACGGUAGCUAAUACCGCAUAACGUCGCAAGACCAAAGAGGGGGACCUUAGGGCCUCUUGCCAUCGGAUGUGCCCAGAUGGGAUUAGCUAGUAGGUGGGGUAAAGGCUCACCUAGGCGACGAUCCCUAGCUGGUCUGAGAGGAUGACCAGCCACACUGGAACUGAGACACGGUCCAGACUCCUACGGGAGGCAGCAGUGGGGAAUAUUGCACAAUGGGCGCAAGCCUGAUGCAGCCAUGCCGCGUGUAUGAAGAAGGCCUUCGGGUUGUAAAGUACUUUCAGCGGGGAGGAAGGGAGUAAAGUUAAUACCUUUGCUCAUUGACGUUACCCGCAGAAGAAGCACCGGCUAACUCCGUGCCAGCAGCCGCGGUAAUACGGAGGGUGCAAGCGUUAAUCGGAAUUACUGGGCGUAAAGCGCACGCAGGCGGUUUGUUAAGUCAGAUGUGAAAUCCCCGGGCUCAACCUGGGAACUGCAUCUGAUACUGGCAAGCUUGAGUCUCGUAGAGGGGGGUAGAAUUCCAGGUGUAGCGGUGAAAUGCGUAGAGAUCUGGAGGAAUACCGGUGGCGAAGGCGGCCCCCUGGACGAAGACUGACGCUCAGGUGCGAAAGCGUGGGGAGCAAACAGGAUUAGAUACCCUGGUAGUCCACGCCGUAAACGAUGUCGACUUGGAGGUUGUGCCCUUGAGGCGUGGCUUCCGGAGCUAACGCGUUAAGUCGACCGCCUGGGGAGUACGGCCGCAAGGUUAAAACUCAAAUGAAUUGACGGGGCCCGCACAAGCGGUGGAGCAUGUGGUUUAAUUCGAUGCAACGCGAAGAACCUUACGGUCUUGACAUCCACGGAAGUUUUCAGAGAUGAGAAUGUGCCUUCGGGAACCGUGAGACAGGUGCUGCAUGGCUGUCGUCAGCUCGUGUUGUGAAAUGUUGGGUUAAGUCCCGCAACGAGCGCAACCCUUAUCCUUUGUUGCCAGCGGUCCGGCCGGGAACUCAAAGGAGACUGCCAGUGAUAAACUGGAGGAAGGUGGGGAUGACGUCAAGUCAUCAUGGCCCUUACGACCAGGGCUACACACGUGCUACAAUGGCGCAUACAAAGAGAAGCGACCUCGCGAGAGCAAGCGGACCUCAUAAAGUGCGUCGUAGUCCGGAUUGGAGUCUGCAACUCGACUCCAUGAAGUCGGAAUCGCUAGUAAUCGUGGAUCAGAAUGCCACGGUGAAUACGUUCCCGGCCUUGUACACACCGCCCGUCACACCAUGGGAGUGGGUUGCAAAAGAAGUAGGUAGCUUAACCUUCGGGAGGGCGCUUACCACUUUGUGAUUCAUGACUGGGGUGAAGUCGUAACAAGGUAACCGUAGGGGAACCUGCGGUUGGAUCACCUCCUU